CGAAGAAUGCGUCUCAAACUAAAAUUAGUUUUAUUUCCUUAAGGGCACUGAGGGUAAAUUUGUGCAACAGAAGAAAAAAAUCUUCACAAGCAGUUGAAAGUACUAUAGAUAAGCCACCUAAACAUCCAUUUUCUGAGCAAGGAGCUGAGAACUAAACUGUCAGGAUCAGUCACAAGACAGGACCUGGCCCUGAAUUGGACCCCAGUCCUCCAUUCACAGAGCACUCAGAGUAACACCAGUAGGAGAGCAAUGGACAACUCUGAAUGGCUGCUCUCAAAAGCUGGGCACCCCUCUCGGACCAGUCUGUACUGCCUAAGGCUGAUUUGCCUCGUUUGCUGAGGUGAAGUGAGAUUUUGGACCAGUGGCUUGCAUACAUUUUCCCCAAGGCCUACAGUUCCAAGUUACUUCUCUCAAGCGAGGGCUGUGGCGACAACAUUCUGAGGUGGAUUGACCAGGGCAUCCUAUAUGCAGUGGAAUUCUCUAGCCCCUCCUAGAACCCACAUACUCCCAGGCUAGAUAUGAUGAUAUCACAUAGGAAAUUAUUAAAAAGGAACACAUGAGGGGGCAGAGCCUCCAGUCACAAGUUUGAAGUGCCCAUCUGUUUUGCGAGUGAACUCACAAGAAGCCCACUGCCAACUGAGGAUGCCAAUGAAGACACAAGGACCUGUCAUGGACUGGGUCAAGUGUUCAAUGACCCAACACACUUACUUUAAAUGGCUGAAAUAAUUAAAAGUAAAGCCAUUAUCCAGCAAAGUUCUCUUGAAGUUACAGUUCUAUAUGCAUACUAAGAGAAAUAAUAAGAAAACUAAGGGUUUCAGCAAAGUACCACAAACACUGAUACCCACCAGGUUAGGGGGAGUGCAGAGGAUUUAGACUCACCAAGACUCAUCAAACUGCUUAUA